AUUGAACGCUAGCGGGAUGCCUUACACAUGCAAGUCGAACGGAGUGGCGAACGGGUGAGUAAUGUAUCGGAAUGUGCCCAGUAGCGGGGGAUAACUACGCCAAAGCGUAGCUAAUACCGCAUACUAUUGGAGUCGCCGAUAUCGGAUUAGCCAGUUGGGGGGGUAACGGCCAACCAAGGCGACGAUCCGGAGCUGGUUUGAGAGGACGACCAGCCACACUGGAACUGAGACACGGCACAGACUCAUGCGGGAGGCAGCAGUGGGGAAUUUUGGACAAUGGGGGAAACCCUGAUGCAGCCAUCCCGCGGGUGCGAUGAAGGCCUUCGGGUUGUAAAGCACUUUUGGCGUGAAAGCGGUACCUGCAGGAUAAGCACCGGCGAACUACGUGCCAGCCGCCGCGGUAAUAC
rnacentral:rRNA from 1 species